GGUAGCAGGAGAAGCUUGCUUUCUUGCUGACGAGUGGCGGACGGGUGAGUAAUGCUUGGGAAUCUGGCUUAUGGAGGGGGAUAACGACGGGAAACUGUCGCUAAUACCGCGUAUUAUCGGAAGAUGAAAGUGCGGGACUGUAAAGCCGCAUGCCAUGAGAUGAGCCCAAGUGGGAUUAGGUAGUUGGUGGGGUAAAGGCCUACCAAGCCUGCGAUCUCUAGCUGGUCUGAGAGGAUGACCAGCCACACUGGAACUGAGACACGGUCCAGACUCCUACGGGAGGCAGCAGUGGGGAAUAUUGCGCAAUGGGGGCAACCCUGACGCAGCCAUGCCGCGUGAAUGAAGAAGGCCUUCGGGUUGUAAAGUUCUUUCGGUAUUGAGGAAGGUUGAUGUGUUAAUAGUACAUCAAAUUGACGUUAAAUACAGAAGAAGCACCGGCUAACUCCGUGCCAGCAGCCGCGGUAAUACGGAGGGUGCGAGCGUUAAUCGGAAUAACUGGGCGUAAAGGGCACGCAGGCGGUUAUUUAAGUGAGGUGUGAAAGCCCCGGGCUUAACCUGGGAAUUGCAUUUCAGACUGGGUAACUAGAGUACUUUAGGGAGGGGUAGAAUUCCACGUGUAGCGGUGAAAUGCGUAGAGAUGUGGAGGAAUACCGAAGGCGAAGGCAGCCCCUUGGGAAUGUACUGACGCUCAUGUGCGAAAGCGUGGGGAGCAAACAGGAUUAGAUACCCUGGUAGUCCA
rnacentral:rRNA from 1 species